GGGCCCUUUUGCAAACAAAAGUGUGAUCGUCUCCAGCUUAAAACCUUUUGUGGUCAGGAACAUCCGUUGCCUAAUAUCCUUUAUUUAAUUUCAUUUCUGCUUGAGACUAGCCAGAAUCAGUCUGCCUCUUCAGCAGCAAAGUUGAUUAAAGAUAUUACAUAGCUCUUAGAAUCUACCUAGGAGAAGGCCGGACAGCCCAAUGCUGAAGCUACAGAGACAGCACAGCCUCAGCUACAGAAUGGGGCGAGCCUUGGUACCUGAGCCCUUUCAGCCACUUUCUCUGAUUCUCAGGACAGAGCCUGCAGGAGAUGGAUGGCCUGGCCCGUGGCCACAGGGCCAUGCUGUUUCCUCUGAGGCUGCUGCAAGGCAAACCAGAUCUCAUGGCGGUAUCCUAGUUGUAGGUGAUCCAGAGAGUGCAAAAUGUUUGGCAUUUACCUUGAGGAAGUGGGAACUUACAAAAUAGGGGAAGUUAACAAAACACAAGGAGGCGGGGGUGUCACAAGAUUUGAGUGGGUGGAUACAGGUUAUAGCCGCUCAAGUUUUCCUCUUGGCUUCCUUCUUCUAUAAACUUUCAACCAAUAACGACAAGCUNNNNNNNNNNNNNNNNNNNNNNNNNNNNNNNNNNNNNNNNNNNNNNNNNNNNNNNNCCCCCACCCCACCCCACUCCCCCCCUGGCUACAGAGGAAAUGUCCCAGCAUCUCCGCUAAGAACCCAAAGUCCAAACCCAAGGUUUCUGAGUAAUGUUUAUUCCUCCCUUUAGUUCAUUUGCAGCCAAUGUUGGUUAACUUAUUGAUUCAUUGAUGAAGCUAGCUAUUGCCAACAUACCUUGAAUAAAAAGCCAAAAAACUUAAUUAAUGUAAAACCACUGAUGCAGGUUACUGGGCAAGGCCAAUGGGAGAAAACCACAUCUUUCUGGACCCCACAUUGGUAAGCCCCAUCUUUAAGGGAUAAAAACCCCUAUAAGACAAUAGAGGGGGGGGACUCUUCUUCCCCCUCCCAGCUGUCCUGGGAGCUGUUUGCCCAGACUUUGCUUACUUGCAAAAAAAUAAUAAUAAUAAUGUAUAACCAUAUAUGUGAUGCAGCAAGGAAGACAGUUUAGGAAGAUGCUGCCAUUCUAACUUCUGUAGUUAGUUACUUCAAAGAAAUGGUUGGUAUUAAAUCUCAUCUCCUCUUAUAUUUAUUUCAUAUUCCCUUUUUCUUUUUUGGAAUUAUCAGACUAGGACUUUAUUUAUAAUUUUUUUUGUCUUUUUAGGGCUAUACCCACAGCAUAUGGAGGUUCCCAGGCUAGGGGUCUAAUUGGAGCUGUAGCUGCCAGCCCAUGCCAGAACCACAGAAACACAGGAUCUGAGCCGCGUCUGUGACCUACACUACAGCUCACGGCAACGCCGGAUCCUUAACCCACUGAGUAAGGCCAGGGAUCGAACCCGCAACCUGAUGGUUCCUAGUUGGAUUCAUCAACCACUGAGCCAUGACGGGAACUUCCUUGGUUUGUGGCUUUGGUAGGAAAGGGAAACCCCAGAGACUGCCUUCUAGCCCUCCACAGCCAUCACAGCACUAACCCCAUGUGCCGUGGAGUCCAAGUGUGGAUUCUGUCAGUCACAGCAUACAUCUAUUCCAGUCAUGUACUCAGCAGCUGAGACAACAACUUUAGACUUUUACAGAGCUGUUGGUCCCCUUGUGAGAUGAAUCGAAGCCAGGUUUCUUUUGUUGGUUGGUUGGUUUGCUUGCUUGCUUUUUAGGGCCGCACCCAUGGCAUAUGGAAAUUCUCAGGCUUGGGGUCAAAUUGGAGCUGCAGCUACAGGCCUACGCCACAGCCACAGCAACACCAUAUCCAAGCCACAUCUGCAACCUACACCGCAGCACGUGGCAACGCUGGAUUCUUAACCCACUGAGCAAGGCCAGGGAUGGAUUGUAGACAGGUUCAUUACCGCCGAGACACAGUGGGAACUUCUGAAGCCAGGUUUCCAUUUAUUCCCCUCUGGUGGGUCACAGUGGCAACCAGAAACCCCAAGAAUUAGCACCGUUUCAGAACCAGUGUCCAGUCAUCCUCAGAAGUUCUGGGAAGUUCCCUCUCCCUGUGCAGGUACCUAGUAAACAGUUGCAGAUCCCAAGCAGGAAAUGUAGAGGAGAUACUUGCAGUAUCUUUGAGGAGACCUUACUCAGGGGAUGUCUGGCUCUCUGUUCAAGGAGGUUUGGGUCAGGGAACUGACUCACAUCUGGGGCUGAAUGAGACACUAGAUCUCUUCUUCAUGGCAAAGCAAGUCAGACCCCUAUUCACCAGGCCUAGAUUUCGUUCUGUUUUACAUGUACUAGCUUACUAGGGCCAUCUUAACUAAAUGCUUCAGAUUGCCAAACAACAGAAACUCAUUUUCUCACACUUCUGGAGGUUGGAAGUUUGAGAUCAAGGCACCGUAGGGUUGGUUCUUCUGAGGCCUCUUCCCUUGGCACAUAGGUGGCCUUUUUCUCCCUGUGGCUUCACGUGGUUCUCCUUCUCUACAUGUCUAUGUCCUGACUUCCUCCUCUUAAAAAUUCCACCUCUUACACAGUCAUAUUGAAUUAGGGCCCACCCUCAUGACCCCAUUUCAAUUAUCUCGUUAAAGAUUGUAUUUCCAAAUAUAGUCACAUUUUGAGUCGCUUGGGGGUCCGAAGGAGGUUAGGACUUCAACCUAAGAAUUCUGGAGAGGAGUUCCCCUUGUGGUUCAGUGGAUCAAGAGCCCGACUAGUAUCCGUGAGGAUGUGGGUUCAAUCCCUGGCCUUGCUCAGUGGGUUAAGGAUCCGGCAUUGUUGCAAGCUGUGGUAUAGGCUGCAGAUGUGGCUUGGAUCUGUCAUUGCUAUGGCUGUGGCAUAAGCCGGCACCUGCAGCUCCAAUAUGACCCCUAGCCUGGGAACUUCCCUA
rnacentral:lncRNA from 1 species